CUUGCUUUCUCGUCAGUGGAGCACUUCAGCUUUUGCACCGAGAUCCACAUCAUUAGAUGCAUCUGAUCAGACCUUGAUCCCCCAUAUCUCCACUGUAUUUCAGAUGAUCUCAAAUCAGUCAGUUCGGAUUCAGCAGCUCGAGGGUUACAUUUUGAGACUGACUGGGAGAGUCUUGACUUGCAGGGGCAAGUGUUAGCUCUGGCCCAUCCACAGUCACAGGAGUGCACUACUGAGGUCUCAGACCUAUCUACGAAGGCAGCCAGACUUAGAGGUGUAUUGGAGGGUGGAUUUGAUUUCUUGAGGAGAGAGAUCAGAGGCUCUAGUGAGUAUGCUUCUACACAGUUCACUGCACUGCUUCAGUCUGUUUCGAGAGCUCUGAACCUUCUUGACACCAUCAGGCUCUCUCUUGCAGUUCAGUCUAUUGCUUCUCAGCCUUC
rnacentral:lncRNA from 1 species